rnacentral:rRNA from 1 species
UACGUAGGGGGCAAGCGUUGUCCGGAUUUAUUGGGCGUAAAGAGCGUGUAGGCGGCCAGGUAGGUCCGUUGUGAAAACUGGAGGCUUAACCUCCAGCUGUCGAUGGAAACCAUCUGGCUAGAGUCCGGAAGAGGAGAGUGGAAUUCCUGGUGUAGCGGUGAAAUGCGCAGAUAUCAGGAGGAACACCGAUGGCGAAGGCAGGUCUCUGGGCCAUAACUGACGCUGAGAAGCGAAAGCAUGGGGAGCGAACAGG